rnacentral:lncRNA from 1 species
CUCGUCCUCAUUUUCGCGGAAGCGAAAGUAAGUCUGUGAGUAGAUGUAAUAGAAGCCUGUCUGGGGCACCACCAGCUCACCGUUCCACAGCUCCACGUUGUAGAGGAAGGAGUGGCCUCUCCUCGAUGACUCCCAGCUGUGGAUUUUAUGCCCAAUGCCUCUGUAGGACAAGUAAUUGUGCGGGGACGCGGAGCUCCUCUUGCUGCUGCCCGUCAGGUGUGCCGCUAUCCUGAGCGUGGGGCCCUGCGGCGGCUCAUCCCUGCGCGGCAGUGCCUGGGUCCUGUCACCGUUGAUUGCAGACAUGUUUUCCUGAAGGAUUCUUGACAUCAUCUUUUUAAUUAACUUUCCCAGGUGCCACUUCACUUGCCAGCAGGGGUCAGCCACUCUGUCUUUGCUUUCCACCACGUCCAAGUUCUGGAUGAGGUCUCCCAGCUCCUCCCCGGUCAGACAGGCAGUGCCACUCCUGGAGUACGUGUCCCAGAGCUGCUUCAGCUCGUUGGUGAAGUAGAUGUAGGUGACGGCCACGCAGACGGACUGCAGCAGCACGGCAGCCACCAGCACGGCCCCGCAGGUGUGCGCGGGGCUCGGCCCGCCCGCGGGCAGCAUCGUAGCGGCGGGACCGCGCGGAGCGGC